UACGGAGGGUGCGAGCGUUUUUCGGAAUCACUGGGCGUAAAGCGCACGCAGGCGGAUCGAUAAGUCGGGGGUGAAAGCCCGGGGCUCAACCUCGGAAUUGCCUUCGAUACUGUCGGUCUCGAGUCCGGGAGAGGUGAGUGGAAUUCCUAGUGUAGAGGUGAAAUUCGUAGAUAUUAGGAAGAACACCAGUGGCGAAGGCGGCUCACUGGCCCGGUACUGACGCUCAGGUGCGAAAGCGUGGGGAGCAAACAGG
rnacentral:rRNA from 1 species